rnacentral:misc_RNA from 1 species
CGCACCUUGCGCUCUUGGGUCAUUCCUAAGAGCAUACUUGUUUGAGUGUCGCGUACCUUCUCAACCCCGCCUUUUUUAAUCGAAAGGCCGUUAGGGUUGGAUCAUGACGCCCUUGUCCUUUUUCACGAAAGGACUGCGUUGAAAUACAACAAGUCCCUUUACCUUUUCUGCGGCUUGACCCGUUGUCGUAAUUACUUUCAAUGGGGACGCGGAUUAGACGUGGGCUUACCAAAUCGUCUUUUAGAUAAGACAAUUUAUGACUUUGACCUCAAAUCAAGUAGGACUACCCGCUGAACUUAA